rnacentral:rRNA from 1 species
CUGACAAGUCAGUGGUGAAAUCCUACGGCUCAACCGUGGCACUGCCAUUGAUACUGUCAGUCUUGAGUAUAGUUGAAGUGGGCGGAAUGUAGCAUGUAGCGGUGAAAUGCAUAGAUAUGCUACAGAACACCAAUAGCGAAGGCAGCUCACUAAGUUAUAACUGACGCUCAUGCACGAAAGCGUGGGGAUCAAACAGGAUUAGAUACCCUGGUAGUCCACGCUGUAAACGAUGAUCACUCGUUGUUGGCAAUACAUCGUCAGCGACUAAGCGAAAGUGAUAAGUGAUCCACCUGGGGAGUACGGUCGCAAGAUUGAAACUCAAAGGAAUUGACGGGGGCCCGCACAAGCGGUGGAGCAUGUGGUUUAAUUCGAUGAUACGCGAGGAACCUUACCUGGGCUCAAACGCAUGAUGGCGUAUGGUGAAAGCUAUAUUUCUUCGGACAUUAUGCGAGGUGCUGCAUGGUUGUCGUCAGCUCGUGCCGUGAGGUGUCGGGUUAAGUCCCAUAACGAGCGCAACCCCUAUCAUUAGUUGCCAUCAGGUUAAGCUGGGGGCUCUAAUGAAACUGCCUACGCAAGUAGUGAGGAAGGCGGGGAUGACGUCAAAUCAGCACGGCCCUUACGUCCAGGGCUACACACGUGCUACAAUGGCCAGUACAAAGGGCAGCUACCUGGUGACAGGAUGCUAAUCUCAAAAGCUGGUCUCAGUUCGGAUCGAAGUCUGCAACCCGACUUCGUGAAGCUGGAU